rnacentral:rRNA from 1 species
GAUGAACGCUGGCGGCGUGCCUAAUACAUGCAAGUCGAGCGAACAGGUAAGGACCUGGCUCCUUGGACGUUAUCGGCGGGCGGGUGAGUAACGCGGGGAUAACCUCCCGAUAAGACUGGGAUAACUUCGGGAAACCGGAUCUAAUACCGUAUAACAUAUUGAACCAUAUGGUUCAAUUGUGAAAUGCAGCUUUGCUGUCACUUGUUGGUGGAUCCUCGUCGUAGUUGCUAGUUGGGAAGGUAACGGCUUACGAAGGCAAGGAUAAGUAGCCGACCUGAGAGGGUGAUCGGCCAAACUGGAACUGAGAAACGGUCCAGCCUCCUCCGGGAGGCAGAAGUAGGGAAUCUUCCGAAAUGGGCGAAAGCCUGACGGAGAAACGCCGCGUGAGUGAUGAAGGUUUCCGGAUCGUAAACCUCUGUUAUAAGGGAAGAACAAAUGUGUAAGUAACUGUGCACAUCUUGACGGUACCUGAUCAGAAAGCCACGGCUAACUACGUG